UCGUAUGAAUUUUCUUACCCGAAGGCGGCUUCACAAGAUCCCAAGUUCUAUUCCGAUGGAGAGAUUCAAUUUCUUCAUUCAUCGCAAUCAACCACUUAGCGGAAUUAUCACAAGAAACUACAUCUGAGUAGGUAGUAGGCUCACCAACUUCACUUGUUUCUUCUGCAAUAGACAAAGCAUAUGUAACUAAAUUUGUAUAUCUUUGUGGUGGUCGAAUAUCUCUCCGUGGUCUAUUCUUGGCUAUGGAAUAUUGCUCUUCC
rnacentral:lncRNA from 1 species